CAGUGCAGCAUCCAUAGGUUCUUGCAACUGGACAGACAUGAAUACAAAGCAGGGAGCAGAGUAACUUCUGUGGUACUGAGUUUAAAGUGUGAUAAGGAAACAACAGGAUAGGACUUAUUUGAAUAAUAAAACUUCAUGGUGAGAGAAAA